UCUUUGAAUAUUUGGUGGAAUAAUCCUGGUUUUUAAUCACAGUUUUUUUCAUGCAUCUUGGCAUCAUGUUCUCCUCCUCCACCAGUCUUACACACUGCUUUUGGAUAACUUUAUGCUGCUUUACUCCUGGUGCAGAAAUUCAAGCAGUUCAGCUUCAUUUUUACGUGAGCUUUUUAUUAGUGUGUGUCUAAAGGUGGUAGUGCAGUUAAACACAGUAAAACAAGAAUCUACAUUAAACAAACAUUUACAGAAACUCUAAGUAAGUGUAAAUUUGAGAGAAAAGAGUAUAAAACAAAUCAGUGUGAGUUCUGAGCUUCACUAGUUCACUAGUGUUCGAAGAGUUCUACUCUAAAGUUACUCUAAAGUGCUGUCCUCCUCUCGCCGGCUGUAGGAGCUACAGCAGGACUAACUUGAGAUUUUGCACCUUAAACGAAAACGCUCUGAAUAUGGGAACCUGUCACCGGGAUGAGGAAACCGGUCUGUGGACAUAUGGCGUUGCGUCAGCAGAGUGGAGGUUGAACUGGAUCCCGCUCCGGAUUUCGUUUCAGCGCAUCACGAAGUGGCUCUUCGUAGAGCUCCAGCCCUCACCUCUCAUUGUCUCGUCUCACAGAGCCCUCUUCAUUAAGAUCCUGCAGCCAUUCCAACACCCUUUCUUGUCUGACAAGGCAGGCGUAUCCUGUUACUGACGCCAGGAAGGGAAAUAAGGGAAGGCAGCUCUGGCAGUGUGGCACGUCGGAGAACUGCUGCGGCCCACAGGACUCAAUUAUUGCCUCCCAUAUGUUAACAUGUCGAAGAAGGUGACAAGCUAUUUCAGAUCUCUCUGCAACACUGUGUAAACCCCAGCUUUACCAUCACUUUCAUUCCCCCCAGCCGAGAUCCGCGUCCGCCUUCCUCGUUCCCGCAACCGCGCGCAACGUGCCAUAACUCAUAUACACAUUGUGUGAACAGGAAAAGAGGAGGGGAGGGGAGAACAGGUCCUAGUGUUGAUGCAAUUAUUAGGAAACUAAAUUAAGAUCUUAAUUAAUCAAUCUUGACAGCUUUCUCAACUGGGUUAAGUGGAUCUCGUCCUUGACAGGAGACACACCUCCUGCAUGCACUUGUUUCACUACAGCUGCUGCUAAACGGAAAAAAAGCCAUCAGUGCUGGAAGACGACCUGAAAGAAAGAAAGGGCUCUUCACGUACAGGAGAAGACAAUGCCACCCUUACUCACUCUUACUCACUCUAAGUCACUCUUAGUCAGGCUUUAGCACCGAGCGCCGCGUCAAAAAUGGGUAAAAAAAAAUUGAGCAACAGUCCAUUUCUCAGUGAAUGGAUGAAAGUCAAUGGAGCUGAUACCCCUCUUUUGACAUCCCCGAUCAAAACGUUAAGCAACUUAACGUCUUAAGGUGUCUUAAGACUUAACCUAUAGAAAUGCUAAUAGACCCUCACGACACAAAACCAGCUGCUUGAUUGCUCGAAUCAGGGUUUCUUUAAAGGUGGACAGAAGGACAGAACUCUUCAUUUAAACUCUGGAGCGUCUGGGAAAAAGUGCUGAGUGAAGAGGUUUUUACCAAGGUGCCGAAAGAAGAGGCGAAGAGACAAAGAGGCGACUAGGCAAAGAGGUGAAUAGACAAAACCAUGAAGAGGUGAAUAGGCAAAUAGACAAAUAGACAAAAAGACGAAGAGGCGAAUAGACAAACAGGCAAAUAGACGAAGAGGUGAAUAGAUGAAAAGGCGAAUGAAGAGGUGAAGAGGUAAAUAGACAAAAAGGCAAAUAGACAAAGAGGUGAAUAGACGAAGAAGCAACUAGGUAAAGAGGCGAACAGACAAACAGGCAAAUAGACGAAGGGGCGAAUAGCUGAGAAACAACUAGGCAAAGAUGCGAAUAGACGGAGAAACGACUAGGUGAAGAGGUGAAUAGACAAAAAGAACGACUAGGCGAAGAAAUGACUAGGUGAAGAAAUGACUAGGCGAAGAAGCGAUUAGGCGAAGAGGCGAAUAGACAAAAAAAACGACUAGGCGAAGAAACGACUAGGUGAAGAAACGAUUAGGCAAAGAAAUGACUAGGUAAAGAAACGACUAGGUGAAGAAACGAUUAGGUGAAGAAACAAUUAGGCGAAUAGACAAACAAGCAAAUAAACAAAGAGGCGACCAGACAAAGGUGAAGAAACGACUAGGCGAAGAAACAACUAGGCGAAGAAACGACUAGGCGAAGAAACAACUAGGCGAAGAAACGAUUAGGUGAAGAGGCGAGUAGACAAAAAAAACGACUAGGUGAAGAAACGACUAGGUAAAGAAACGAUUAGGCGAAGAAACGACUAGGCGAAGAAACGACUAGGUGAAGAAACAACUAGGCGAAGAAACGACUAGGUGAAGAAACAACUAGGCGAAGAAACGACUAGGUGAAGAAACGACUAGGUGAAGAAACGACUAGGUGAAGAAACGACUAGGUGAAGAGGCGAAAAGACGAAGAAGCGAAGAGACGAAAAAACGACUAGACGAAAAGACUAAUAGACAAACAGGCGAAUAGACCGAGAAACAACGAGGCUAAGAGGUGACUAGACGAAGCAAAGAAACAAUUAAAGUCUGGAUGAAGCUCUUCCCAACAGGAUCUCAAUGUCU